rnacentral:lncRNA from 1 species
AUUGCCUUUCAAACUAGAAGAAGACUGUGUAGAAUGUCUUUAAAAGAGAAAGGGGUAUCCCUCGAGGCCACUGAUAAGCCUUUUUCUAGUGAUGCGUGUUUUCUUCAAGACAGGAUACUCCGUGAAGACUAAAGUAGAAAAACCAAUGACUGAUUUUUAGGAGAGGCAUAUGCAUGAGAGGGGCGUGGUGUUGCAUGCCUACAAUACCAGUAGUGAGAAGAUGGAGGGAACAGGAGGGAGGCUCAAGAUAGCGUCUACCUACAGAAAGAGGCCAAUGUCUGAGCCAUUCUUUUUUUUUUUCUUUAGCAUUUAUAUUAGAUUUCUUUUAAGGCAAUCUAAAAACAAAACAAAAAUUACUGCUAAAAAAAUCUACACUAAUAGAGAACUCUCUCAGAGAACUCUUUCCACUACAACUAACUUUUCACAGCUUUUGCAAACAUAUCUCUAGCCUCCUAAGGAAGACUUUCCUCAGGUUUUGUGGGUUGCUACAUUUAUGAAGAGACUGGAGGUGAGAGUUCCUCCCCUUUCUGCUGAGUAGUUCACCCCACCCCCCUUCCUAUGAAUUCCAGGAAGGAUUUCUGUCACCUUUUAACCCUUGCCUUGCCAGUGACUAAAUAUAGUACCUAACUUAAAACUACCAAGUAAAGCUUGCUAAAUAAAUAAGUCCCCCCUCCUCAGUAAGCCUAUUGUGUCCUAACCUAAUCCACUUCAUCUCUUCCCCCUCAAAUCCAUUCUGAACUGGAACAUGCAGAUAAUCUAUUAAAACCAUGAAGUGUUGUU